rnacentral:rRNA from 1 species
ACACGACUACAUUAGAUACCCGCGUAGUCCCAGCCCUAAACGAUGCGCGUUAGGUGUAUCGGUGACCACGAGUCACCGAGGUGCCGAAGGGAAACCGUGAAACGUGCCGCCUGGGAAGUACGGUCGCAAGGCUGAAACUUAAAGGAAUUGGCGGGGGAGCACCGCAACGGGAGGAGCGUGCGGUUCAAUUGGAUUCAACGCCGGACAACUCACCAGGAGCGACGGUUACAUGAAGGCCAGGCUGAUGACCUUGCCUGAUUUUCCG